UGCAGUCGAACGGUGAAGCUGGAGCUUGCUCUGGUGGAUCAGUGGCGAACGGGUGAGUAACACGUGAGCAAUCUGCCCCUGACUCUGGGAUAAGCGCUGGAAACGGUGUCUAAUACUGGAUAUGAGCUAUGACCGCAUGGUUGUGGUUGGAAAGAUUUUUCGGUUGGGGAUGGGCUCGCGGCCUAUCAGCUUGUUGGUGAGGUAAUGGCUCACCAAGGCGUCGACGGGUAGCCGGCCUGAGAGGGUGACCGGCCACACUGGGACUGAGACACGGCCCAGACUCCUACGGGAGGCAGCAGUGGGGAAUAUUGCACAAUGGGCGGAAGCCUGAUGCAGCAACGCCGCGUGAGGGAUGACGGCCUUCGGGUUGUAAACCUCUUUUAGCAGGGAAGAAGCGUGAGUGACGGUACCUGCAGAAAAAGCACCGGCUAACUACGUGCCAGCAGCCCGCGGUAAA
rnacentral:rRNA from 1 species